rnacentral:rRNA from 1 species
GUGCGAUUGGAUUGCACGUCUAAGCAGUAAGGCUGAGUAUUAGGCAAAUCCGGUACUCAUUAAGGCUGAGCUGUGAUGGGGAGAAGACAUUGUGUCUUCGAGUCGUUGAUUUCACACUGCCGAGAAAAGCCUCUAGAUAGAAAAUAGGUGCCCGUACCGCAAACCGACACAGGUAGUCAAGAUGAGAAUUCUAAGGUGAGCGAGCGAACUCUCGUUAAGGAACUCGGCAAAAUGACCCCGUAACUUCGGGAGAAGGGGUGCUCUUUAGGGUUAACGCCCAGAAGAGCCGCAGUGAAUAGGCCCAAGCGACUGUUUAUCAAAAACACAGGUCUCUGCUAAACCGUAAGGUGAUGUAUAGGGGCUGACGCCUGCCCGGUGCUGGAAGGUUAAGAGGAGUGGUUAGCUUCUGCGAAGCUACGAAUCGAAGCCCCAGUAAACGGCGGCCGUAACUAUAACGGUCCUAAGGUAGCGAAAUUCCUUGUCGGGUAAGUUCCGACCCGCACGAAAGGCGUAACGAUUUGGGCACUGUCUCAACGAGAGACUCGGUGAAAUCAUAGUACCUGUGAAGAUGCAGGUUACCCGCGACAGGACGGAAAGACCCCGUGGAGCUUUACUGUAGCCUGAUAUUGAAAUUCGGCACAGCUUGUACAGGAUAGGUAGGAGCCUUUGAAACGUGAGCGCUAGCUUACGUGGAGGCGCUGGUGGGAUACUACCCUAGCUGUGUUGGCUUUCUAACCCGCACCACUUAUCGUGGUGGGAGACAGUGUCAGGCGGGCAGUUUGACUGGGGCGGUCGCCUCCUAAAAGGUAACGGAGGCGCUCAAAGGUUCCCUCAGAAUGGUUGGAAAUCAUUCAUAGAGUGUAAAGGCAUAAGGGAGCUUGACUGCGAGACCUACAAGUCGAGCAGGGUCGAAAGACGGACUUAGUGAUCCGGUGGUUCCGCAUGGAAGGGCCAUCGCUCAACGGAUAAAAGCUACCCCGGGGAUAACAGGCUUAUCUCCCCCAAGAGUUCACAUCGACGGGGAGGUUUGGCACCUCGAUGUCGGCUCAUCGCAUCCUGGGGCUGUAGUCGGUCCCAAGGGUUGGGCUGUUCGCCCAUUAAAGCGGUACGCGAGCUGGGUUCAGAACGUCGUGAGACAGUUCGGUCCCUAUCCGUCGUGGGCGUAGGAAAUUUGAGAGGAGCUGUCCUUAGUACGAGAGGACCGGGAUGGACAUACCUCUGGUGUACCAGUUGUCGUGCCAACGGCAUAGCUGGGUAGCUAUGUGUGGACGGGAUAAGUGCUGAAAGCAUCUAAGCAUGAAGCCCCCCUCAAGAUGAGAUUUCCCAACUUCGGUUAUAAGAUCCCUCAAAGAUGAUGAGGUUAAUAGGUUCGAGGUGGAAGCAUGGUGACAUGUGGAGCUGACGAAUACUAA